AUGAACGCUGGCGGCGUGCCUCAUCCAUGCAAGUCGAGCGAACAGACGAGGAGCUUGCUCCUCUGACGUUAGCGGCGGCCGGGGGAGUAACACGUGGAUAACCUACCUAUAAGACUGGGAUAACUUCGGGAAACCGGAGCUAAUACCGGAUAAUAUAUUUAACCGCAUGGUUCAAUAGUGAAAGACGGUUUUGCUGUCACUUAUAGAUGGAUCCGCGCCGCAUUAGCUAGUUGGUAAGGUAACGGCUUACCAAGGCAACGAUGCGUAGCCGACCUGAGAGGGUGAUCGGCCACACUGGAACUGAGACACGGUCCAGACUCCUACGGGAGGCAGCAGUAGGGAAUCUUCCGCAAUGGGCGAAAGCUUGACGGAGCAACGCCGCGUGAGUGAUGAAGGUCUUCGGAUCGUAAAACUCUGUUAUUAGGGAAGAACAAAUGUGUAAGUAACUAUGCACAUCUUGACGGUACCUAAUCAGAAAGCCACGGCUAACUACGUG
rnacentral:rRNA from 1 species